rnacentral:rRNA from 1 species
AGACCCGAAACCCGGUGAUCUAGCCAUGGGCAGGUUGAAGGUUGGGUAACACUAACUGGAGGACCGAACCGACUAAUGUUGAAAAAUUAGCGGAUGACCUGUGGCUGGGGGUGAAAGGCCAAUCAAACCGGGAGAUAGCUGGUUCUCCCCGAAAGCUAUUUAGGUAGCGCCUCGUGAAUUCAUCUCCGGGGGUAGAGCACUGUUUCGGCUAGGGGGCCAUCCCGGCUUACCAACCCGAUGCAAACUGCGAAUACCGGAGAAUGUUAUCACGGGAGACACACGGCGGGUGCUAACGUCCGUCGUGAAGAGGGAAACAACCCAGACCGCCAGCUAAGGUCCCAAAGUCAUGGUUAAGUGGGAAACGAUGUGGGAAGGCCCAGACAGCCAGGAUGUUGGCUUAGAAGCAGCCAUCAUUUAAAGAAAGCGUAAUAGCUCACUGGUCGAGUCGGCCUGCGCGGAAGAUGUAACGGGGCUAAACCAUGCACCGAAGCUGCGGCAGCGACGCUGAUGCGUUGUUGGGUAGGGGAGCGUUCUGUAAGCCUGCGAAGGUGGCCUGUGAGGGUUGCUGGAGGUAUCAGAAGUGCGAAUGCUGACAUAAGUAACGAUAAAGCGGGUGAAAAGCCCGCUCGCCGGAAGACCAAGGGUUCCUGUCCAACGUUAAUCGGGGCAGGGUGAGUCGACCCCUAAGGCGAGGCCGAAAGGCGUAGUCGAUGGGAAACGGGUUAAUAUUCCCGUACUUGGUGUUACUGCGAAGGGGGGACGGAGAAGGCUAUGUUGGCCGGGCGACGGUUGUCCCGGUUUAAGCGUGUAGGUGUGUGUUCCAGGUAAAUCCGGUUCACUUUAACACUGAGGCGUGACGACGAGGCACUACGGUGCUGAAGCAACAAAUGCCCUGCUUCCAGGAAAAGCCUCUAAGCAUCAGGUAACACGAAAUCGUACCCCAAACCGACACAGGUGGUCAGGUAGAGAAUACCAAGGCGCUUGAGAGAACUCGGGUG